rnacentral:rRNA from 1 species
GACAGAGGUGCCAAGCGUUAGGCGGAAUCACUGGGCUUAAAGCGUGUGUAGGCGGGCGAUCAAGUACCUUGUGAAAUCCCACGGCUCAACCGUGGAACCGCUGGGUAUACUGGUUGUCUUGAGCCGGCUAGGGGCGAGCGGAACAGACGGUGGAGCGGUGAAAUGCGUAGAUAUCGUCUGGAACGCCGAAGGUGAAAACAGCUCGCUGGGGCCGCGCUGACGCUGAGACACGAAAGCCAGGGGAGCGAACGGG